GGACAGGCCUCAUGCGGCCACAGGAACAGACGCGUGAGGGCACGUGUUCCUGCAAGGGAGAAGAACAUGACAGUGUCCCUAAGGAAGGCUCCGCCAGCCCUUGGGGUGGACAUGCAGUGGAGAGGCCAGCUCCUCAGACAGCAACAGAAAGCCAGAGAUGGCAGUUGCAGCCCAGACAGCUGGGACUUUGGGCAUCUGACCUUUCUCAGCACUGCCCAGGAAAAGUGCUGAGAAACCACCCGGGCACAGCCGCACAUUUGGAAACACAUCACGGCCCCCCAGGCACGCGCAGAGACCCUGUCACCACCCAUCAUCUCUCCUGGGCAUCAGGCAGCCCUCCAUGUGGGAGGCCCCACUCUAAUGAAGCCAGUGUACUGUAUCUGCUGAUCAAGGUUAAUCUGUAGGCAAAUAAACAUUAUUGAACUCUUCAU
rnacentral:lncRNA from 1 species